rnacentral:rRNA from 1 species
UUUUGAACUAGAUUAAUAUUACCAGNUUAGUAGUAGUUAUGUGCUUGAAAAUUAAAGAAGAUGGCGGUAUUUUAGUCUAUUCAGAGGAACCUGUCCUGUAAUCGAUGAUCCACGAUUUAUUAUACUUAUUUUAUAAGUUUGCAUAUCGCCGUAGGUGGAAUGUCCUUUAAGGGGUUUAAACAUUCAAGAGGUUUUUGCUUGUGAAAAUAAAUCAGGUCAAGAUGUAGCUAAUAAAUAAGAAGAGAUGGGUUACAAUAAAUUUAUUUAUAACGGAUUAAUAUAUGAAAUUUAUUAUAAAGGUGGA